rnacentral:rRNA from 1 species
UACGAAGGGGGCUAGCGUUGUUCGGAAUCACUGGGCGUAAAGGGCGCGUAGGCGGCUUUGUAAGUCGGGGGUGAAAGCCUGUGGCUCAACCACAGAAUUGCCUUCGAUACUGCAUGGCUUGAGACCGGAAGAGGUUAGUGGAACUGCGAGUGUAGAGGUGAAAUUCGUAGAUAUUCGCAAGAACACCAGUGGCGAAGGCGGCUGACUGGUCCGGAUCGUGACGCUGACGGCGCGAAAGCGUGGGGAGCAAGCAGG